CAAGGGCCAGUGCAAUGUAUCUUAGGCUCACUUAAGAGGGUUGUAGGGAAAACAAAAAGCCCUUCAGGUGCACCAGUUGUUUGUUGGCUCACUACAAAGGUGUCAUUCAAGUGGCUAAUCAUGUAACAGCAAAAAUGCAUCUAACCAGCAGAAAGAGAAGUGGAGGCUCCAAAGGCACUUGACUACUAAGCAUCACCCUGGAAGUGUACAAGUCCGCGUCCUUAUUGUUUUCUUCGCUGGGUCGAACUUUCUGGUCCUCAUCCAACAGCUCUUCUAUCACGUGUUCAAAAGUGUCAGCCAACGACGUCAGGCCUCUUGAACCUGCCUUGGGCCCAUUCAUGCUCUCCAGAGUCCCAUGGGUCCGCACACCUGGAGAUCCUCUAUUAUAGCAAAGAAGAAAGAUAAUUU